UACGGGGGGGGCAAGCGUUGUUCGGAAUUACUGGGCGUAAAGGGCUCGUAGGCGGCCAACUAAGUCGGACGUGAAAUCCCUCGGCUUAACCGGGGAACUGCGUCCGAUACUGGAUGGCUUGAGUUCGGGAGAGGGAUGCGGAAUUCCAGGUGUAGCGGUGAAAUGCGUAGAUAUCUGGAGGAACACCGGUGGCGAAGGCGGCAUCCUGGACCGACACUGACGCUGAGGAGCAAAAGCCAGGGGAGCAAACGGG
rnacentral:rRNA from 1 species